UCCAAGUAGCCUGGACUACAGGUGUGCACCACUAUGCCUGUAUAUUCCGUGGAGAUAAAUCUAGGAAACUCCGAUAUGACUUCCAGGCUGCCAUACUCAAGACCUCCAGCCCCUUUGCCACUUGGACCAGUGAAGAGCCUCACAGCCUGCUCUAACCACAGCUCCCUUCUGAGAGGAAAAGCUGCUCACAGAAAACAUCUCUUUGAAGCUGGCACUACUGAUGAAAACUAAAGCAAUGGAUGGAGAAAAGAGGAGGAAUAAAGACAAUUUGGGCUGAUGUUCUUCAGAAAAGGAAAGGGUGGUCACCUUGUCAAUGGAUUUGUUGAGCACCCAUUAUGUGUGGGAAUGGAUGAUUAAAAGCUACAGAAAUCUC